GUCUCCGGCUGUAUCUCUCGGGGUCUCUUUCGGUCUCUGCUCCCUCCCUCUUCCCUCCUGACGUCUGCUCUCCCUCCGACGGCGCCUCCCUCCCAGCCCUCCCCCUGCACCACCACCCCAGCGCGCGCACACGCUCACACCCCUCCCUGGGACUGAGAUGCAAAGAGAGAAAGGGAUGGAGGGCAAAAGGGAUCGGCUACCCUUCCAGAAGAACAACGUAAGGCAUCGGCCCCUUUUUGAAGGGCCAAGGAGAGGAGCGCAGCCACGGGUUGAUCUCCAAGCAGGAAGACUUUGACAUCCUUUGGGGCUGAGACAUCUAAGAACUAGGAAGGGAGGGGAUUCCUGGUGAGAAGAAUGAGAGGAUUAGACAAACUGUCCAAUGCUUGCCUCAGGCGAAGUGGGAGCUAGAAACUGCCCCAGGUAUUGGUGGUGUGGUUCAGCUCGGCUGGGACCCGAGCUACUGUUUCCUGCAAGCAGAAGUUGGGAAGUGGAGGAAGGCCACACUGGGGUAAGCAAGCCAGAGCAAUCAGGGAAAUUAGGUGUCCUUCCAAUUCGUACUCAGCCAGGUCACCCCCAUGCGGCUUAAAAUGCUGAGUAAA